rnacentral:lncRNA from 1 species
GCGCUGUCCCCGCAGCUGGCACACCUGCAAGCAGAAGCAGCAGCUGGCCAAAGCGCGGGCCGGGGAGCUGGGGACGGCGCCCGAGGGCGAGAAGCUGCACAGCGACAGCGGCGUCUUCCUCGACACCCACAGCCUGCAGGAGCCCCACCAGCUCAGCAAGGGUGAGCCUGGGCUCCGGCGCCCGUUUCGGGGGGAGAGGGGGUGUCCAGACCCGGGUGGGGAGCACCCAUGGCCUGGGGAGCAUGGGGAUGGCAUUGGGGUGCACCCAUGGCCCGGGGAGCAUCUGGACGGGUUGAGGGGCACCCAAUGCCCAGGGGACACCUAUGCCUUGGGGAGCAUCUGGACAGGGUUAGGGAGCACCCGUGUCCGGGGAGCAUCUGUGUCUUGGGUAACACCCAUGUCCUGCAGAGCACCUGGGGUCAGGGAGAACCCAUGCCCUAGAAACACCCAUGUCUGGGGAAGCAUCUGGAUGGGGUUGGGGAGCACCCAUGUCCCAGGCAACACCCRUGUCCCAGGGAGCACCCAUGUCCUGGGGAGCAUGUGGAUGGGGUUGGGGAGCACCCAUGUCCCUGGGGCACCUUGGGGAGCACCUGAGUCCUGGGGGCACCCAUGUCCUGGGGAGCAUCUGGAUAGGGUGGGGGAGCACCCAUCUCCUGGGGAGCGUCUGGAUGGGGUUGGGGAACAACCGUGUCCCGGGGAGCACCCAUGUCCUGUGGAGCAUCUGCAUGGGGUUGGGGAGCACCCGUGUCCCAGGGGCACCUUGGGGAGUACCUGAGUCCUGGGGGCACCUUAGUCCUGGGGGCACCCAUGUCCUGGAGAACAUCUGGUUGGGAUUGGGGAGCACCCACGUCCCAGGGAGCAUCCAUGUCCUGAGGAGCACCCAUGUCCUGGGGAGCAUCUGGAUGGGGUCGGGAAGCACCCAUGUCCCGGGGAGCACCCAUGUCCUGGGGAGUGUCUGGAAGGGGUUGGGGAUCACCCAUGUCCCGGGGAGCAUCUGCAUGGGGUUGGGGAGCACCCAUGUCCUG